rnacentral:rRNA from 1 species
UAGGGAAUCUUCCACAAUGGGCGCAAGCCUGAUGGAGCAACACCGCGUGAGUGAAGAAGGGUUUCGGCUCGUAAAGCUCUGUUGUUGGAGAAGAACGUGCGUGAGAGUAACUGUUCACGCAGUGACGGUAUCCAACCAGAAAGUCACGGCUAACUACCGUGCC